AAAGUAUAAACCGCGGUCCCAAAGAGGCGUGCUGUGUCUGCAUUUUCCUGGGAGUGCACGGUUUACAUUCUGUAAAGCAGUGCUGUCGACUAGAAAUUUUGUGCGAUACACAUGUACAAGUUUUGUCACUUAAAAAGAAUUUGAAAAAACUUCAUAGAUGCAAAAAAAAAAACCCACCAUUAUUAAAGAAUACUUAGGCAUUUGUGGAAUGCAUUGAAGAGUUAACAAAAUGGAUAGGCAGGAAAUAUCGCAGACCUAGAGUGAAUUACAGUUACCCACUGUGGAACUGAGGAGCUAGGGUUUCUCAUAAAACUCCCUGAUAGGAGACGACUUUUGAUAAAAAUUUUUUUCCGCCAACAAAAUCCCCUGUCUUCUCCACUAGUUAUUGUCUGUCCACUAAAUAAGAGGUGGUCCGUCACUUCUUCAGAUGAGCAACU
rnacentral:lncRNA from 1 species